UCCCUGGACAGAAGAUCCCAUGAUUUAUUAAGCCACAUAUUAAUGGGAAUGUUGCAGGAAGAAAACUGUUCAGUUAUACUGUGUGUUUAAUAAUAAUCACCUAUAAAGGAAACUAAGAUGGGCUCAAUUUUUUUUUGUCCUUUCCUUCAGGAAUUUUAAGGGUAACUUGAUGAGGAAAGCCAACAAGGAGUGACAGAGCUCUGCAUUCUAAAGCAGCCCCUCAUUUCUGAGAAUAAAAAUUUGGGGCUGGAAAACUGGCGAUCUGAAUCUCUUCUCCCCCCUCCUUCUAUUUGGGAUGCUCUGUGUUUGGUUAAAGGACAGAUGCCGGGGAACCAUGAACGAAAGGAACAGGGGGAAUGAAAAGGCAUCAAGCUGUGGGGAUAGAGGGACAGCUGUGGCAGAAAGUUAGAGGCAUCCACAUCUUGGACACCCAAAGAAGAGGUCGCAGUGGAUGUGAGGUUUCUGAGGAUCUGCAGGGAAGGAUUCUCAGCUCCUUAGAGGCAAGUCUGCAUGAACAACUGAUGCUGCUUCUGCUGUGCUGA
rnacentral:lncRNA from 1 species